rnacentral:tRNA from 1 species
AGUUAUAAAGUUGUUUAAUAUAAGUUUGUCAGAUUUAAGAAGAAAAUUAUUCCUC